GGGACGCUUCAGAAGUGUUACGCCGGGCGAUGGUAGCCCCGGUUGUAAAGGACACAAUUGAGUGGAAGGUAACAUGGAUGGAGACAAGAAAAGCUGUGUGUAUCUGGAAGGAGCCCGUACCGCAAACCGACACAGGUAGAUAGGAGGAAGAUUCUAAGGCCAGCGGGAGAAGGGUUGUUAAGGAACUCGGCAAGUUGACCCCGUAACUUCGGGAGAAGGGGUGCUUACGAAGGUAAGCCGCAGAGAAUAGGCCCAAGCGACUGUUUAGCAAAAACACAGCUCUAUGCUAAAUCGAAAGAUGACGUAUAUGGGGUGACACCUGCCCGGUGCUGGAAGGUUAAGAGGAGAUGUGAGAGCAUUGAAUUGAAGCCCCAGUAAACGGCGGCCGUAACAAUAACGGUCCUAAGGUAGCGAAAUUCCUUGUCAGGUAAGUUCUGACCCGCACGAAUGGUGUAACGAUUUGGGCACUGUCUCAACAACCUACCCGGCGAAAUUGUAGUACCGGUGAAGAUGCCGGUUACCCGCGACUAGACGGAAAGACCCCAUGGAGCUUCACUGUAGCUUAAUAUUGAAUUUUGGUAUUUCAUGUACAGGAUAGGUGGGAGACUGGGAAAUACAGGCGUCAGCUUGUAUGGAGUCACUGUUGGGAUACCACUCUUGAGGUGCUGAAAUUCUAACCUGCGUCUUUGAAUCAAGACGGGGGACAUUGUUAGGUGGGCAGUUUGACUGGGGCGGUCGCCUCCAAAAGAGUAACGGAGGCGCUCAAAGGUUCGCUCAGCAUGGACGGAAACCAUGCCAAAGAGUGCAAACGCAAAAGCGAGCCUAACUGCGAGACUGACGGGUCGAGCAGUAACGAAAGUUGGAGUUAGUGAUCCGGCGGUAUGUGAGUGGAAAUGCCGUCGCUCAACGGAUAAAAGCUACCCUGGGGAUAACAGGCUGAUCUCCCCCAAGAGUCCACAUCGACGGGGAGGUUUGGCACCUCGAUGUCGGCUCAUCGCAUCCUGGGGCUGAAUUCGGUCCCAAGGGUUUGGCUGUUCGCCAAUUAAAGCGGUACGCGAGCUGGGUUCAGAACGUCGUGAGACAGUUCGGUCCCUAUCUGUCGUGGGCGUAGGAUAUUUGAAAGGAGCUGUCCCUAGUACGAGAGGACCGGGAUGGACGCACCUCUGGUGAACCAGUUGUCACGCCAGUGGCACGGCUGGGCAGCUAAGUGCGGAACGGAUAAACGCUGAAAGCAUCUAAGCGUGAAGCCGACCUUAAGAUAAGAUAUCCGUUCUUCGGAAUAAGACCCCUUGUAGACUACGAGGUUGAUAGGCUUAAAGUGUAAGCAUGGUGACAUGUUUAGCUUGCAAGUACUAAUCGGUCGAUUGCUUUUCCAA
rnacentral:rRNA from 1 species